rnacentral:rRNA from 1 species
AUUGAACGCUGGCGGUAGGUUUUAAACAUGCAAGUCGAGCGGUAACAGACAUUUUGAUUCAGCUUGCUGAAUCUCGUGCUGACGAGCGGCGAACGGGUGAGUAUCACGUGAAUAAUCUGCCCUCGAGAUCGGGAUAACAUGGUGAAAACUAUGCUAAUACCGGAUAAGACCACAUUUCAUAAGAAAUGCGGUAAAAGGAGUCUCAAUCUUCACUUGAGGAUGAGUUCGCGCAACAUUAGCUUGUUGGUGAGAUAAAAGCUCACCAAGGCUACGAUGUUUAGCCGGCCUGAGAGGGUGAACGGCCACACUGGAACUGAGACACGGUCCAGACUCCUACGGGAGGCAGCAGUGGGGAAUAUUGCGCAAUGGGCGAAAGCCUGACGCAGCAACGCCGUGUGAGCGAUG